rnacentral:rRNA from 1 species
GACGAACGCUGGCGGCGUGCUUAACACAUGCAAGUCGAGCGGAAAGGCCCUUUCGGGGGUACUCGAGCGGCGAACGGGUGAGUAACACGUGAGUAAUCUGCCUCUGGCUUCGGGAUAGCCACCGGAAACGGUGAUUAAUACCGGAUACGACGCAUCACUGCAUGGUGUGUGCGUGGAAAGUUUUUUCGGCCAGGGAUGUGCUCGCGGCCUAUCAGCUUGUUGGUGGGGUAAUGGCCUACCAAGGCUUCGACGGGUAGCCGGCCUGAGAGGGUGACCGGCCACACUGGGACUGAGACACGGCCCAGACUCCUACGGGAGACAGCAGUGGGGAAUAUUGGACAAUGGGCGGAAGCCUGAUUCAGCAACGCCGCGUGAGGGAUGACGGCCUUCGGGUUGUAAACCUCUUUCAGCACAGACGAAGCGCAAGUGACGGUAUGUGCAGAAGAAGGACCGGCCAACUACGUGCCAGCAGCCGCCGUAAAAC